rnacentral:SRP_RNA from 1 species
GCCAGGCAUGGUGGCGCAUGCCUGUAAUCCCAGCUGCUCAGGAGGCUGAGGCAAAAGAAUCACUUGAACCCGGGAGGUGGAGGUUGCAGUGAGCCGAGAUCGUGCCACUACACUCCAGCCUGGGUGACAGAGUGAGAUUCUGUCUCAA